GCCUCCGUAGCUCAGCUGGUAGAGCACUUCACUCGUAAUGAAGGGGUCAGCGGUUCGAGUCCGCUCGGAGGCUC
rnacentral:tRNA from 1 species